GAUGAACGCUAGCGGCAGGCCUAAUACAUGCAAGUCGAACGGGUGGUCGCAAUUCCACUAGUGGCGCACGGGUGCGUAACGCGUAACCAACCUGCCCCGAUCUGGGGGAUAGCGCGCCGAAAGGCGGAUUAAUACCGCAUAUACCCGCAGCCUGGCAUCAGGCAACGGGGAAAGAUGUAUUGGAUCGGGAUGGGGUUGCGUGACAUUAGCUAGUUGGCGGGGUAAGGGCCCACCAAGGCGACGAUGUCUAGGGGACCUGAGAGGGUGAUCCCCCACACUGGCACUGAGAUACGGGCCAGACUCCUACGGGAGGCAGCAGUAGGGAAUAUUGGGCAAUGGGCGAGAGCAUGACCCAGCCAUGCCCGUGGCGGAUGAAGGCCUUCUGGGUUGUAAACGGCUUUUCUCAGGGAAGAAAAAGACCUUGCGAGGUACACUGACGGUACCUGAGGAAUAAGCACCGGCUAACUCCGUG
rnacentral:rRNA from 1 species